rnacentral:siRNA from 1 species
GGGUGCGGUUUUGGUCAC